rnacentral:rRNA from 1 species
UGGGGAAUUUUGGACAAUGGGCGCAAGCCUGAUCCAGCCAUGCCGCGUGCGGGAAGAAGGCCUUCGGGUUGUAAACCGCUUUGUCAGGGAAGAAAUCUUCUGAGUUAAUACCUCGGGAGGAUGACGGUACCUGAAGAAUAAGCACCGGCUAACUACGUGCCAGCAGCCGCGGUAAUACGUAGGGUGCAAGCGUUAAUCGGAAUUACUGGGCGUAAAGCGUGCGCAGGCGGUUUUGUAAGACAGAGGUGAAAUCCCCGGGCUCAACCUGGGAACUGCCUUUGUGACUGCAAGGCUUGAGUGCGGCAGAGGGGGAUGGAAUUCCGCGUGUAGCAGUGAAAUGCGUAGAUAUGCGGAGGAACACCGAUGGCGAAGGCAAUCCCCUGGGCCUGCACUGACGCUCAUGCACGAAAGCGUGGGGAGCAAAACCAGGAUUAGAUAGCCCUGGUAGUCCACGCCCUAAACGUGUCAACUGGUUGUUGGGAAGGUUCCUUCUCAGUAACGUAGCUAACGCGUGAAGUUGA